UACGUAGGGUGCAAGCGUUGUCCGGAAUUAUUGGGCGUAAAGAGCUCGUAGGCGGUUUGUUGCGUCGGCUGUGAAAUCCCGAGGCUCAACCUCGGGUCUGCAGUCGAUACGAGCAAACUAGAGUGUUGCAGGGAGACUGGAAUUCCUGGUGAUAGCGGUGAAAUGCGCAGAUAUCAGGAGGAACACCGGUGGCGAAGGCGGGU
rnacentral:rRNA from 1 species